CGAGCGAACAGAUGAGGAGAGCUUGCUCCUCUGACGUUAGCGGCGGACGGGUGAGUAACACGUGGAUAACCUACCUAUAAGACUGGGAUAACUUCGGGAAACCGGAGCUAAUACCGGAUAAUAUAUUGAACCGCAUGGUUCAAAAGUGAAAGACGGUCUUGCUGUCACUUAUAGAUGGAUCCGCGCUGCAUUAGCUAGUUGGUAAGGUAACGGCUUACCAAGGCAACGAUGCAUAGCCGACCUGAGAGGGUGAUCGGCCACACUGGAACUGAGACACGGUCCAGACUCCUACGGGAGGCAGCAGUAGGGAAUCUUCCGCAAUGGGCGAAAGCCUGACGGAGCAACGCCGCGUGAGUGAUGAAGGUCUUCGGAUCGUAAAACUCUGUUAUUAGGGAAGAACAUAUGUGUAAGUAACUGUGCACAUCUUGACGGUACCUAAUCAGAAAGCCACGGCUAACUACGUGCCAGCAGCCGCGGUAAUACGUAGGUGGCAAGCGUUAUCCGGAAUUAUUGGGCGUAAAGCGCGCGUAGGCGGUUUUUUAAGUCUGAUGUGAAAGCCCACGGCUCAACCGUGGAGGGUCAUUGGAAACUGGAAAACUUGAGUGCAGAAGAGGAAAGUGGAAUUCCAUGUGUAGCGGUGAAAUGCGCAGAGAUAUGGAGGAACACCAGUGGCGAAGGCGACUUUCUGGUCUGUAACUGACGCUGAUGUGCGAAAGCGUGGGGAUC
rnacentral:rRNA from 1 species